rnacentral:rRNA from 1 species
AACGAACGCUGGCGGCAGGCCUAACACAUGCAAGUCGAACGCCCCGCAAGGGGAGUGGCAGACGGGUGAGUAACGCGUGGGAACCUACCCUACGGUCGGGACUAGCCCAGGGAAACUUGGGGUAAUACCGGAUACGCCCUAACGGGGAAAGAUUUAUCGCCGUUGGAUGGGCCCGCGUCGGAUUAGCUAGUUGGUGAGGUAACGGCUCACCAAGGCGACGAUCCGUAGCUGGUCUGAGAGGAUGAUCAGCCACACUGGGACUGAGACACGGCCCAGACUCCUACGGGAGGCAGCAGUGGGGAAUAUUGGACAAUGGGCGCAAGCCUGAUCCAGCUAUGCCGCGUGAGUGACGAAGGUCUUCGGAUUGUAAAGCUCUUUUGGCGGGGAAGAUAAUGACGGUACCCGCAGAAUAAGCUCCGGCUAACUUCGUG